UCAGGUUUGUCUCAUAAUAUUUCUAUGUUGUUGUGGUACAGCUUUAGAAAGCUCCUUGAUCCUGGAGGGACUCUGUUGAGUUAUUAGAAGUGAUUACAGAGACAGCAGGAGUAGCCUGUUCUGGGAAAACAACAUGCAUUAUUGCCUUACUUCUGGUAGAACAUCUGCCUGAUUCAUCUUGGUUUUCACUUGGGAUAAAUAUCUGAGCUUUUUGAGCCUGUUUAUUUGUGUGCCUCCAGUAAAAUAUCAGUUUCCUUGCCGCAACAGCCAUCUAUUGGGGCACCAGAUGUUGUGUAGGUUGUGUUUAGAGCUUGCAGCUUUAACCUUUGGCAAAUUUCAGUCUGUAGACAUUAAUGGAGCUAUGUUAUUAUUUGGAAAAGUUUAUUUGACAGGAUAUCCUUUAACUUGA